rnacentral:rRNA from 1 species
UACGUAGGGGGCAAGCGUUGUCCGGAUUUAUUGGGCGUAAAGCGCGUGUAGGCGGCCAGGUAGGUCGGUUGUGAAAACUGGAGGCUCAACCUUCAGAGGUCGAACCGAAACCAUCUGGCUAGAGUCCGGGAGAGGAGAGUGGAAUUCCGUGGUGUAGCGGUGAAAUGCGCAGAUAUCAGGAAGAACACCCAGUGGCGAAAGGCAGCUCUCUGGGAACGGUACUGACGGCUGAAGACGCGAAAGCGUGGGGAG